rnacentral:rRNA from 1 species
ACUCCUACGGGAGGCAGCAGUGGGGAAUAUUGGACAAUGGGCGCAAGCCUGAUCCAGCCAUGCCGCGUGUGUGAAGAAGGCCUUAUGGUUGUAAAGCACUUUAAGCGAGGAGGAGGCUACUUUAGUUAAUACCUAGAGAUAGUGGACGUUACUCGCAGAAUAAGCACCGGCUAACUCUGUGCCAGCAGCCGCGGUAAUACAGAGGGUGCAAGCGUUAAUCGGAUUUACUGGGCGUAAAGCGCGCGUAGGCGGCUAAUUAAGUCAAAUGUGAAAUCCCCGAGCUUAACUUGGGAAUUGCAUUCGAUACUGGUUAGCUAGAGUGUGGGAGAGGAUGGUAGAAUUCCAGGUGUAGCGGUGAAAUGCGUAGAGAUCUGGAGGAAUACCGAUGGCGAAGGCAGCCAUCUGGCCUAACACUGACGCUGAGGUGCGAAAGCAUGGGGGAGCAAACAGGAUUAGAUACCCUGGUAGGCUCUGC